GAGUUUGAUCCUGGCUCAGAACGAACGCUGGCGGCGUGCCUAACACAUGCAAGUCGAGCGAGAAAGCCCGCAAGGGUGAGUAAAGCGGCGCACGGGUGCGUAACACGUGGGUAAUCUGCCCUGGAGUCCGGAAUAACUCGCCGAAAGGCGUGCUAAUGCCGGAUGAGACCACGGGAGCCUCGGCUCCUGCGGGAAAAGGUGGCCUCUGUACACAAGCUAUCGCUUCAGGAUGAGCCCGCGGCCCAUCAGCUCGUUGGCGGGGUAAUGGCCCACCAAGGCAACGACGGGUAGCUGGUCUGAGAGGACGAUCAGCCACACUGGAACUGAGACACGGUCCAGACUCCUACGGGAGGCAGCAGUGGGGAAUCUUGCGCAAUGGGCGAAAGCCUGACGCAGCAACGCCGCGUGUGUGAUGAAGGUCUUCGGAUCGUAAAGCACUGUCGCGAGGGACGAAUAAGGGGCGGGCUAACAUCCCGUUUCGAUGACGGUACCUCGAGAGGAAGCACCGGCUAACUCUGUGCCAGCAGCCGCGGUAAUACAGAGGGUGCAAGCGUUGUUCGGAAUUAUUGGGCGUAAAGCGCGUGUAGGCGGCUNUGUAAGUUGGGUGUGAAAGCCCUCGGCUUAACCGAGGAAGUGCGCCCAAAACUGCAUGGCUUGAGUACCGGAGAGGGUGGCGGAAUUCCCGGUGUAGAGGUGAAAUUCGUAGAUAUCGGGAGGAACACCAGCGGCGAAGGCGGCCACCUGGACGGAUACUGACGCUGAGACGCGAAAGCGUGGGGAGCAAACAGGAUUAGAAUCCCUGGUAGUCCACGCUGUAAACGAUGAGCGCUAGGUGUUGUGGGUGUUGACCCCUGCAGUGCCGCAGCUAACGCAUUAAGCGCUCCGCCUGGGAAGUACGGCCGCAAGGCUAAAACUCAAAGGAAUUGAGGCGGGCCCGCACAAGCGGUGGAGCAUGUGGUUUAAUUCGACGCAACGCGCAGAACCUUACCUGGUCUUGACAUCCUCGGAAUCCUUCAGAGAUGAGGGAGUGCCCGCAAGGGAACCGAGAGACAGGUGCUGCAUGGC
rnacentral:rRNA from 1 species